rnacentral:rRNA from 1 species
AUCAACUUUCGAUGGUAGGAUAGAGGCCUACCAUGGUGGUAACGGGUAACGGGGUGUUAGGGCGCGACACCGGAGAGGGAGCCUGAGAAACGGCUACCACAUCCAAGGAUGGCAGCAGGCGCGCAAAUUACCCAAUCCCGACACGGGGAGGUAGUGACAAUAAAUAACAAUACGGGGUCCUUUGGGUCUCGUAAUUGGAAUGAGUACAAUUUAAAUCUCUUAACGAGGAACAAUUGGAGGGCAAGUCUGGUGCCAGCAGCCGCGGUAAUUCCAGCUCCAAUAGCGUAUAUUAAAGUUGUUGCAGUUAAAAAGCUCGUAGUUGAAUUUCGGGGUCGGUAGGUUGGUCAUGCCAUCGGUAUGCACUGGUCUCACCGAUUCCUCCCUCUUGUAGAAGCGUAAUGCCAUUAAUUUGGUGUUGCGGGGAAACAGGACUGUUACUUUGAAAAAAUUAGAGUGUUUAAAGCAGGCUAACGCCUGAAUACAUUAGCAUGGAAUAAUGAAAUAGGACGUCGAUCCUAUUUUGUUGGUUUCUAGGGUUGACGUAAUGAUUAAUAGGGAUAGUUGGGGGCAUUAGUAUUCAAUUGUCAGAGGUGAAAUUCUUGGAUUUAUUGAAGACUAACUACUGCGAAAGCAUUUGCCAAGGAUGUUUUCAUUAAUCAAGAACGAAAGUUAGGGGAUCGAAGACGAUCAGAUACCGUCGUAGUCUUAACCAUAAACUAUGCCGACUAGGGAUCGGAUGAUGUUAAUUUUUUAAUGACUCAUUCGGCGCCUUACGGGAAACCAAAGUGUUUGGGUUC